GUGUCUGUCUGACGCGAGAAUGAUCCCUGAAGCUGGACGCCCCAGAUUCCGCAUUAAUGCCGAGGAAUCUGAAGAUCGAGGUCUGGAUGGCCGCGCCUAACGAUUAUAGUCAGAAAUGGAACAAAAAUUGAGGGGCCACUGUUGUGUCUUCAUCAGGUACACAUGCUGGAGCCACUGCAGCUCGUGCUGAAUCUAAAAGACCGCCAGGUUCAAUCAGCCCACUGGAUCGGUGUUGCAGCUCUCCUCAUGUCAAAAUGACCUUCUCUAUCAAUCCCUCUAUAUUCCCCCUCACUCUUUAAUUUCCCCCCACAGUUCGAUCCGUUUUUGGCCAUUAAGUCUUUGACCCCCUUUCAGUGUGACUGACCCGAAUCACCCAUGUUAGUGCAUUCCCCUGCACUCUGACUCAAACUUUACCUUCCUCCUUUCUGACUCCACCCAGAAGCUAUUUCUCUAAAGCUUCUACUUUUUGGGGGGGAAUUAACUAAAAAUAAAUGAAGCGUCAGUGAGUUCAUUUAAAUACGGGACAGCGCUAAACUAGUUAAGAUUGUAUCAGAGACGGGCCACUUGUGGUUGGUCUUGUAAAAAUUUGCUCUGUAUAAAAAGUGUAUGGAGUGCCACAGUAUGAGUCCUAAAACCCCAGAAACUGGUUAGCAUUUUUGAACUUCUGGUUCCAUCUAGAGGUCGACCGAUAUUGGAUUUUACCAAUACCGAUAACAAGGUUGGACCACACUGGCCGAUGCCGAUUAAUCAGUCGAUAGUUUUUAAAAUGGAUACUAAACGGAAAAUAAAUAGUGCUUUACUAUUUAAAAAAAAAAAAAUAG